rnacentral:misc_RNA from 1 species
AAAAAAAAAAAAAAAAAACUCCACUGAGAUUGAGUUGGUAUUAGAGCAUCAAUUGGGUGAAUUAAGACGAAUUUUGCAAAUUUUCUUCUUCAUUCCCCCUUUCUACCGCAUCUAGAAAAUGGGAAGAUAGCUAGAAAAGACAAAAUAGGUGGAGUAGAACCAAUAAUAAAAAUUUUUAAAAAUUUUGAAGCUCGAUCCUGAAUAGAAGGGGGGA